rnacentral:rRNA from 1 species
AGAGUUUGAUCAUGGCUCAGAACGAACGCUGGCGGCGUGCUUAACACAUGCAAGUCGCGUGCGCAGUCCGUAGCAAUACGGAUGGGCGCACGGCGCACGGGUGCGUAACACGUGGGCAAUCUGCCCUCUGAUGGGGAAUAACCCGCCGAAAGGCGGGCUAAUUCCGCAUAAGAUUCCCGGGGCUUCGGUCCUGGGAUUGAAAGCAGUAAUGCGUCGGAGGAGGAGCCCGCGCCCGAUUAGCUAGUUGGUGAGGUAAUGGCUCACCAAGGCAAUGAUCGGUAGCUGGUCUGAGAGGAUGAUCAGCCACACUGGAACUGAGACACGGUCCAGACUCCUACGGGAGGCAGCAGUGGGGAAUCUUGCACAAUGGGCGAAAGCCUGAUGCAGCGACGCCGCGUGGGGGAUGAAGCAUUUCGGUGUGUAAACCCCUUUCGACUGGGAAGAAUACCUCGCAAGAGGGGUGACGGUACCAGUAGAAGAAGCCCCGGCUAACUACGUGCCAGCAGCCGCGGUAAGACGUAGGGGGCCAGCGUUGUUCGGAAUUACUGGGUGUAAAGGGUUCGUAGGCGGUGCGGCAAGUUGGGAGUGAAAUCUCUGGGCUUAACCCAGAGGCUGCUUCCAAAACUGCUGUGCUCGAGUGUGAGAGAGGCUCGUGGAAUUGCAGGUGUAGCGGUGAAAUGCGUAGAUAUCUGCAGGAACACCCGUGGCGAAAGCGGCGAGCUGGAUCACUACUGACGCUGAGGAACGAAAGCUAGGGGAGCAAACAGGAUUAGAUACCCUCGUAGUCC